GACGAACGCUGGCGGCGUGCCUAAUACAUGCAAGUCGAACGCAGUGGGGACGGGUGAGUAACACGUGGGUAACCUCCCAUCAGAGGGUAUAACACUUGGAAACAGGUGCUAAACCGAUACUGAUGGAUGGACCCGCGGUUCAUUAGCUAGUUGGUGGGGUAACGGCUCACCAAGGCCACGAUGCAUAGCCGACCUGAGAGGUGGAUCGGCCACACGGGGACUGAGACACGACCAAGACUCCUAGGGGAGGCAGCAGUAGGGAAUCUUGGGAAAUGGACGAAAGUCUGACCGAGCAACGCCGGGUGAGGGAAGAAGGUUUUCGGAUCGUAAAACUCUGUGGUUAGGGAAGCGGUAUCUAACCAGAAAGCAACGGCUAACUACGUGCCAGCAGCCGCGGUAAUAC
rnacentral:rRNA from 1 species